rnacentral:rRNA from 1 species
AUACGGAGGGUGCGAGCGUUAAUCGGAAUUACUGGGCGUAAAGCGCGCGUAGGCGGUUCGAUAAGUCUGAUGUGAAAGCCCUGGGCUUAACCUGGGAAUGGCAUUGGAUACUGUUGAACUAGAGUGCGGGAGAGGAGAGUGGAAUUCUCGGUGUAGCGGUGAAAUGCGUAGAUAUCGGGAGGAACACCAGUGGCGAAGGCGGCUCUCUGGACUGACACUGACGCUGAGGUGCGAAAGCGCGGGUAGCAAACAGGAUUAGAAACCCCGGUAGUCC